rnacentral:rRNA from 1 species
UCGGCUCUCGCAUCGAUGAAGAACGUAGCGAAAUGCGAUACUUGGUGUGAAUUGCAGAAUCCCGUGAACCAUCGAGUCUUUGAACGCAAGUUGCGCCCGAAGCCUUUAGGCCGAGGGCACGUCUGCCUGGGCGUCACGCAUCGCGUCGCCCCCCGCGC